CGACUGGCGGGGCGCGCGACAGUCGCCCGCGUGACGCGCAUCCGAACGCACGCGUGCGUCAGAACGCAACACAUCCAAAAACGCAAUACUCAACACAAUACGAAGCUUUAAACAUUUAAAAUAAAAAAA